rnacentral:rRNA from 1 species
GAUGAACGCUGGCGGCGUGCCUAAUACAUGCAAGUCGAGCGAACAGACGAGGAGCUUGCUCCUCUGACGUUAGCGGCGGACGGGUGAGUAACACGUGGAUAACCUACCUAUCAGACUGGGAUAACUUCGGGAAACCGGAGCUAAUACCGGAUAAUAUAUUGAACCGCAUGGUUCAAUAGUGAAAGACGGUUUUGCUGUCACUUAUAGAUGGAUCCGCGCCGCAUUAGCUAGUUGUUAAGGUAACGGCUUACCAAGGCAACGAUGCGUAGCCGACCUGAGAGGGUGAUCGGCCACACUGGAACUGAGACACGGUCCAGACUCCUACGGGAGGCAGCAGUAGGGAAUCUGCCGCAAUGGGCGAAAGCCUGACGGAGCAACGCCGCGUGAGUGAUGAAGGUCUUCGGAUCGUAAAACUAUGUUAUUAGGGAAGAACAAAUGUGUAAGUAACUAUGCACGUCUUGACGGUACCUAAUCAGAAAGCCACGGCUAACUACGUG